UUUUUUAAAUUGCUGUGGUAUUUUGACUAUACAAAGGUAUUGUAAUAAGAUUUUAAUUGAAUGCUAAAAGAAUGGAUUAACAGAUAAAUACUUUCUUUAAUUUAAAAAUUAAAUUUAUUAUUUUUUGUGCAGAAACAAAAAUAAAAAUUAAGGACAAGAAGACCCUAAGAAUUUUAAUUUGAUUUAAAUAAUUUAUAUUUCUUAAUCAAAUUUAAUUGGGGCGAUUGAAAAAUAUUUUUAACUUUUUUUUAAAAAAAAUAUGAACCAUUAAUAAUGGUAAUAUGAAAAAAUACUCUAGGGAUAACAGCGUAAUAAUUUUUGAUAGUUCAUAUAGACAAAAUAGUUUGCGACCUCGAUGUUGGAUUAGGAUUCUAAUUUAAUGAAGAAGUUAAAUUAAGAAGUUUGUUCAACUUUUA
rnacentral:rRNA from 1 species